rnacentral:rRNA from 2 species
UGCUCCCUGAAGUCAGCGGCGGACGGGUGAGUAACACGUGGGCAACCUGCCUGUAAGACUGGGAUAACUCCGGGAAACCGGGGCUAAUACCGGAUAAUUCUUUCCCUCACAUGAGGGAAAGCUGAAAGAUGGUUUCGGCUAUCACUUACAGAUGGGCCCGCGGCGCAUUAGCUAGUUGGUGAGGUAACGGCUCACCAAGGCGACGAUGCGUAGCCGACCUGAGAGGGUGAUCGGCCACACUGGGACUGAGACACGGCCCAGACUCCUACGGGAGGCAGCAGUAGGGAAUCUUCCGCAAUGGACGAAAGUCUGACGGAGCAACGCCGCGUGAGUGAUGAAGGUUUUCGGAUCGUAAAACUCUGUUGUUAGGGAAGAACAAGUACCGGAGUAACUGCCGGUACCUUGACGGUACCUAACCAGAAAGCCACGGCUAACUACGUGCCAGCAGCCGCGGUAAUACGUAGGUGGCAAGCGUUGUCCGGAAUUAUUGGGCGUAAAGCGCGCGCAGGCGGUUCCUUAAGUCUGAUGUGAAAGCCCCCGGCUCAACCGGGGAGGGUCAUUGGAAACUGGGGA